AACGAACGCUGGCGGCAGGCCUAACACAUGCAAGUCGAGCGAGGUAGCAAUACCUAGCGGCGGACGGGUGAGUAACGCGUGGGAACGUGCCCUUUGCUUCGGAAUAGCCCCGGGAAACUGGGAGUAAUACCGAAUGUGCCCUUCGGGGGAAAGGUUUAUCGGCAAAGGAUCGGCCCGCGUUGGAUUAGGUAGUUGGUGGGGUAAUGGCCUACCAAGCCGACGAUCCAUAGCUGGUUUGAGAGGAUAAUCAGCCACACUGGGACUGAGACACGGCCCAGACUCCUACGGGAGGCGGCAGUGGGGAAUCUUAGACAAUGGGCGCAAGCCUGAUCUAGCCAUGCCGCGUGAUCGAUGAAGGCCUUAGGGUUGUAAAGAUCUUUCAGGUGGGAAGAUAAUGACUGUACCACCAGAAGAAGCCCCGGCUAACUCCGUGCCAGCAGCCGCAGUAA
rnacentral:rRNA from 1 species